AUUGAACGCUGGCGGCAGGCCUAACACAUGCAAGUCGAGCGGUAACAGGGAUAGCUUGCUAUCUGCUGACGAGCGGCGGACGGGUGCGUAACACGUAGGAAUCUACCCAGUAGCGGGGGAUAGCCCGGAGAAAUCCGGAUUAAUACCGCAUACGCCCUACGGGGGAAAGCAGGGGAUCUUCGGACCUUGCACUAUUGGAUGAGCCUGCGUCGGAUUAGCUAGUUGGUGGGGUAAAGGCCUACCAAGGCGACGAUCCGUA
rnacentral:rRNA from 1 species